UUUGGUGGCGAUAGCGAAGAGGUCACACCCGUUCCCAUACCGAACACGGAAGUUAAGCUCUUCAGCGCCGAUGGUAGUUGGGGGUUUCC
rnacentral:rRNA from 2 species